UUAGCAUAUCAAUAAGCGGAGGAAAAGAAACCAACAGGGAUUGCCCUAGUAACGGCGAGUGAAGCGGCAACAGCUCAAAUUUGAAAUCUGGCUCCUUUGGUGCCCGAGUUGUAAUUUGUAGAGGGUGCUUCGGCGUUGGCCCUGGCCUAAGUUCCUUGGAACAGGACGUCACAGAGGGUGAGAAUCCCGUAUGUGGCCGUCGGCCUUCGCCAUGUGAAGCCCCUUCGACGAGUCGAGUUGUUUGGGAAUGCAGCUCUAAAUGGGAGGUAAAUUUCUUCUAAAGCUAAAUACUGGCCAGAGACCGAUAGCGCACAAGUAGAGUGAUCGAAAGAUGAAAAGCACUUUGGAAAGAGAGUCAAAAAGCACGUGAAAUUGUUGAAAGGGAAGCGCUUGCAGCCAGACUUGCCCGCAGUUGCUCAUCCAGGUCUUUGCCUGGUGCACUCUUCUGCGGGCAGGCCAGCAUCAGUUCGGGCGGUUGGAUAAAGACUUCAGGAAUGUGGCUCCCCUCGGGGAGUGUUAUAGCCUGUGGUGCAAUGCAGCCAGCCUGGACUGAGGUCCGCGCGUUUGCUAGGAUGCUGGCGUAAUGGCCGCAAGCGGCCCGUCUUGAAACACGGACCAAGGAGUCUAACAUCUAUGCGAGUGUUUGGGUGUCAAGCCCGGGCGCGCAAUGAAAGUGAACGGAGGUGGGAACCCUCGGGUGCACCAUCGACCGAUCCUGAUGUCUUCGGAUGGAUUUGAGUAAGAGCAUAGCUGUUGGGACCCGAAAGAUGGUGAACUAUGCCUGAAUAGGGUGAAGCCAGAGGAAACUCUGGUGGAGGCUCGCAGCGGUUCUGACGUGCAAAUCGAUCGUCAAAUUUGGGCAUAGGGGCGAAAGACUAAUCGAACUAUCUAGUAGCUGGUUCCUGCCGA
rnacentral:rRNA from 1 species